GGGAUCAUUCUUAAUAUUUCUAUCUCUCACAUAGAAUAUUUCCUCCAGAUCCUCUGUAAGAAUAUUUAAGUACCUUUCAGGAGGAUGAAAAAUCUUACUAGAUCUAUGAGGUGGAGGAGGUACUACAUCAACUAACUCACUAAUGGAUUCAAGCUCUUGGACUCGAUGCUCUUCAAAAAUCUUUUCUUCGAGCUCAAUCUUCCUCCCACUGCCUCCAUCUUGAAAAAAAAAAUUAAUAAAAUGGCAUGAUGACUCAUAAUCACAUUAUGAUCC
rnacentral:lncRNA from 1 species